GAUGAACGCUGGCGGCGUGCCUAAUACAUGCCAGUCGAGCGAACAGACGCGGAGCUUGCUCCUCUGACGUUAGCGGCGGACGGGUGAGUAACACGUGGAUAACCUACCUAUAAGACUGGGAUAACUUCGGGAAACCGGAGCUAAUACCGGAUAAUAUAUUGAACCGCAUGGUUCAAUAGUGAAAGACGGUUUUGCUGUCACUUAUAGAUGGAUCCGCGCCGCAUUAGCUAGUUGGUAAGGUAACGGCUUACCAAGGCAACGAUGCGUAGCCGACCUGAGAGGGUGAUCGGCCACACUGGAACUGAGACACGGUCCAGACUCCUACGGGAGGCAGCAGUAGGGAAUCUUCCGCAAUGGGCGAAAGCUUGACGGAGCAACGCCGCGUGAGUGAUGAAGGUCUUCGGAUCGUAAAACUCUGUUAUUAGGGAAGAACAAAUGUGUAAGUAACUAUGCACGUCUUGACGGUACCUAAUCAGAAAGCCACGGCUAACUACGUG
rnacentral:rRNA from 1 species